CUCCCUGAUGUUAGCGGCGGACGGGUGAGUAACACGUGGGUAACCUGCCUGUAAGACUGGGAUAACUCCGGGAAACCGGGGCUAAUACCGGAUGGUUGUUUGAACCGCAUGGUUCAAACAUAAAAGGUGGCUUCGGCUACCACUUACAGAUGGACCCGCGGCGCAUUAGCUAGUUGGUGAGGUAACGGCUCACCAAGGCGACGAUGCGUAGCCGACCUGAGAGGGUGAUCGGCCACACUGGGACUGAGACACGGCCCAGACUCCUACGGGAGGCAGCAGUAGGGAAUCUUCCGCAAUGGACGAAAGUCUGACGGAGCAACGCCGCGUGAGUGAUGAAGGUUUUCGGAUCGUAAAGCUCUGUUGUUAGGGAAGAACAAGUACCGUUCGAAUAGGGCGGUACCUUGACGGUACCUAACCAGAAAGCCACGGCUAACUACGUGCCAGCAGCCGCGGUAAUACGUAGGUGGCAAGCGUUGUCCGGAAUUAUUGGGCGUAAAGGGCUCGCAG
rnacentral:rRNA from 1 species